AGAAUAUAGUUGUUCUUUGCCUUCAGUUAGAAUAAAUUCAAGCUGAGUCAGACCUGUGUCGUCAAACCCUUCACUUAGAUGUGUGUCCUAUAAAUGCCCAUAAGCCUUUCCCGUGAAGUCCUCCAGUGUUACGGAAUUCACAGUUGCACUUGUGAACUUAUGUCCUUCUCAGUGCCCAGGAAUGGUACUAAGAGAAUCAGCUUUGUUUUAUCGGCUGUUACACACGGUGUCACAGCCUCUCAGCUGCUACUGCCAACCAGAGGGUUCUGCCCACGUCAGCCAUGUUAGUUCUUCCCUGGACCUUUGCUUCUUCAGAGCUAAUCAAAGGGUCAGGUUAUUACCACAGAAGUUAGUUGGUUUGUAUGAUUCUGUCACUGUCUGACUGGCAUCGUGCUUGUUAAAUAUUCAUAUUUUCACUUAUUAAGACUUUUAAAGGAAAGCCAUCGUACUAGACAUGGCAGACCCUUUAGUCCCUUGUUUCAGAAGAGUGUCAAAAGGAAUAAACUGUACCAUAGUGUUUGUUGAGUACCCAAGAGUGAGUUCAUUGGAUAAUUACAAUUUUCUCAUGGCACAACACUUACAUAUCUAAGUAGGAAUGUAUCUGCUCUAACUUUGCUGGAGAUGUGUGGCCUCUCUACACAUGCUGUCUUUCAUUCUGUCAGUGGUAUUAUAGACGUAGCUCAAUUUCAUGGCAACUGAAUACUUCAACUUUCUGAAUUUGAACAUAUAUAUACACACAGAAAGAACUUUCCAAAGUUUGGUGUUAGACUUUUUGACAGCCAUGAUUAUUUAUUUAUGAGAUCUAAAGUCUCCCUGCUUAGCCAGUAUUGCUCAUGAAUGGGUUGUAUCAAGUUUGAUUUUACGAGUAGUAUAUUUGUUAUUAAAGCACAUUAAUACUAACAACAAUAUUUUUGUCUGAAAGUACUAAUUCCCUAAGCCCUUAAAGUCUUAUUUAUGCCAGCAAAAUAUUUCAAAUAAUAGUAGCCUGGGUCUUCAGCCAUUUGCCACACAUACUCAGAGAUACACACUCACACAUAAACACAGAUGGGCAUGCUUUGAUAGAAUCUUCAUCAAGCAUUUAGACACAGAAAGCUAGGUAGACUAUCUGAUUAGGAAAAGUGUUAUCCCUUAAAAGGAAAUGAUUUCAUAUAAACAUCACAUACUUUUGUCUAUCAUGUUUACAUGAAUAUAGGUUAUGGUAGAGAUUAAUACAGCAAAUUUUUGAGUUC
rnacentral:lncRNA from 1 species